rnacentral:rRNA from 1 species
UACGUAGGGGGCGAGCGUUGUCCGGAUUUAUUGGGCGUAAAGAGCGUGUAGGCGGCCAGGUAGGUCCGUUGUGAAAACUCGAGGCUCAACCUCGAGACGUCGGCGGAAACCCUCUGGCUAGAGUCCGGAAGAGGAGAGUGGAAUUCCUGGUGUAGCGGUGAAAUGCGCAGAUAUCAGGAAGAACACCCGUGGCGAAGGCGGCUCUCUGGGACGGUACUGACACUGAGACGCGAAAGCGUGGGGAGCAAACAGG